GGAGGGGUGACCGAGUGGACGAUGGUAACGGUCUUGAAAACCGUCGUCGCGCAAGCGACCGCAGGUUCGAAUCCUGUCCCCUCCGCCA
rnacentral:tRNA from 1 species